rnacentral:rRNA from 1 species
UAGUUGGUGAGGUAAUAGCUCACCAAGGCGACGACGGGUAGCCGGCCUGAGAGGGUGACCGGCCACACUGGGACUGAGACACGGCCCAGACUCCUACGGGAGGCAGCAGUGGGGAAUAUUGCACAAUGGGCGAAAGCCUGAUGCAGCAACGCCGCGUGUGGGACGACGGCCUUCGGGUUGUAAACCUCUUUUAGUAGGGAAGAAGCGAAAGUGACGGUACCUGCAGAAAAAGCACCGGCUAACUACGUGCCAGCAGCCGCGGUAAUACGUAGGGUGCAAGCGUUAUCCGGAAUUAUUGGGCGUAAAGAGCUCGUAGGCGGUUUGUCACGUCUGCUGUGAAAACUGGAGGCUCAACCUCCAGCCUGCAGUGGGUACGGGCAGACUAGAGUGCGGUAGGGGAGAUUGGAAUUCCUGGUGUAGCGGUGGAAUACGCAGAUAUCAGGAGGAACACCGAUGGCGAAGGCAGAUCUCUGGGCCGUAACUGACGCUGAGGAGCGAAAGCAUGGGGAGCGAACAGGAUUAGAUACCCUGGUAGUCCAUGCCGUAAACGUUGGGAACUAGAUGUAGGGACCAUUCCACGGUUUCUGUGUCGCAGCUAACGCAUUAAGUUCCCCGCCUGGGGAGUACGGCCGCAAGGCUAAAACUCAAAGGAAUUGACGGGGGCCCGCACAAGCGGCGGAGCAUGCGGAUUAAUUCGAUGCAACGCGAAGAACCUUACCAAGGCUUGACAUAUACCGGAAAAGUUCAGAAAUGUUCUCCCCGCAAGGUCGGUAUACAGGUGGUGCAUGGUUGUCGUCAGCUCGUGUCGUGAGAUGUUGGGUUAAGUCCCGCAACGAGCGCAACCCUCGUUCUAUGUUGCCAGCACGUAAUGGUGGGAACUCAUAGGAGACUGCCGGGGUCAACUCGGAGGAAGGUGGGGAUGACGUCAAAUCAUCAUGCCCCUUAUGUCUUGGGCUUCACGCAUGCUACAAUGGCCGAUACAAAGGGCUGCAAUACCGCAAGGUGGAGCGAAUCCCAAAAAGUCGGUCUCAGUUCGGAUUGAGGUCUGCAACUCGACCUCAUGAAGUCGGAGUCGCUAGUAAUCGCAGAUCAGCAACGCUGCGGUGAAUACGUUCCCGGGCCUUGUACACACCGCCCGUCAAGUCAUGAAAGUCGGUAACACCCGAAGCCAGUGGCCCAACCGCAAGGAGGGAGCUGUCGAAGGUGGGAUCGGUGAUUAGGACUAAGUCGAAACAAGGUAGCCGUACCGGAAGGUGCGGCUG